UAUAAAACAAAUAAUGAAUGUUUUUAUUCGUGCAAUGGUAAGAAUAUUUUCAUUCGGUGAAAGAUGGAAUGUUCCAUUCAACUUGGCUGUCGCUUCGUUGAAUGGAACAUUCCAUCUUUCACCUCAUGAAAAUAUUCUUACCAUUGCACGAAUAAAAACAUUCAUUAUUUGUAUACUA
rnacentral:miRNA from 1 species